rnacentral:rRNA from 2 species
AGAGUUUGAUCCUGGCUCAGAGCGAACGCUGGCGGCAGGCUUAACACAUGCAAGUCGAGCGGGCGUAGCAAUACGUCAGCGGCAGACGGGUGAGUAACGCGUGGGAACGUACCUUUUGGUUCGGAACAACACAGGGAAACUUGUGCUAAUACCGGAUAAGCCCUUACGGGGAAAGAUUUAUCGCCGAAAGAUCGGCCCGCGUCUGAUUAGCUAGUUGGUGAGGUAACGGCUCACCAAGGCGACGAUCAGUAGCUGGUCUGAGAGGAUGAUCAGCCACAUUGGGACUGAGACACGGCCCAAACUCCUACGGGAGGCAGCAGUGGGGAAUAUUGGACAAUGGGCGCAAGCCUGAUCCAGCCAUGCCGCGUGAGUGAUGAAGGCCCUAGGGUUGUAAAGCUCUUUUGUGCGGGAAGAUAAUGACGGUACCGCAAGAAUAAGCCCCGGCUAACUUCGUGCCAGCAGCCGCGGUAAUACGAAGGGGGCUAGCGUUGCUCGGAAUCACUGGGCGUAAAGGGUGCGUAGGCGGGUCUUUAAGUCAGGGGUGAAAUCCUGGAGCUCAACUCCAGAACUGCCUUUGAUACUGAGGAUCUUGAGUUCGGGAGAGGUGAGUGGAACUGCGAGUGUAGAGGUGAAAUUCGUAGAUAUUCGCAAGAACACCAGUGGCGAAGGCGGCUCACUGGCCCGAUACUGACGCUGAGGCACGAAAGCGUGGGGAGCAAACAGGAUUAGAUACCCUGGUAGUCC